rnacentral:rRNA from 1 species
CGCCGUACCGCAAACCGACACUGGUGCGCGAGAUGAGUAUUCUAAGGCGCUUGAGAGAACUCAGGAGAAGGAACUCGGCAAAUUGACACCGUAACUUCGGAAGAAGGUGUGCCCUAUUAGUGUGUAGUGAACAACGAAGCAUGAAUGGGUUGCAAAAAAUCGGUGGCUGCGACUGUUUAUUAAAAACACAGCACUCUGCAAACACGAAAGUGGACGUAUAGGGUGUGACGCCUGCCCGGUGCUGGAAGAUUAAAUGAUGGGGUGCAAGCUCUUGAUUGAAGUCCCAGUAAACGGCGGCCGUAACGAUAACGGUCCUAAGGUAGCGAAAUUCCUUGUCGGGUAAGUUCCGACCUGCACGAAUGGCGUAACGAUGGCCACACUGUCUCCUCCUGAGACUCAGCGAAGUUGAAAUGUUUGUGAUGAUGCAAUCGCCCCGCGGAAAGACGGAAAGACCCCAUGAACCUUUACUGUAGCUUUGUAUUGGACUUUGAACAGAUCUGUGUAGGAUAGGUGGGAGGCUUUGAAGCAGGGUCGCUAGAUCUUGUGGAGCCAACGUUGAAAUACCACCCUGGUGUGUUUGAGGUUCUAACCUAGGUCCAUUAUCUGGAUCGGGGACAGUGCAUGGUAGGCAGUUUGACUGGGGCGGUCUCCUCCCAAAGCGUAACGGAGGAGUUCGAAGGUACGCUAGUUACGGUCGGACAUCGUGACGAUAGUGCAAUGGCAUAAGCGUGCUUAACUGCGAGACUGACAAGUCGAGCAGAUGCGAAAGCAGGACAUAGUGAUCCGGUGGUUCUGUAUGGAAGGGCCAUCGCUCAACGGAUAAAAGGUACUCUGGGGAUAACAGGCUGAUACCGCCCAAGAGUUCAUAUCGACGGCGGUGUUUGGCACCUCGAUGUCGGCUCAUCUCAUCCUGGGGCUGUAGCCGGUCCCAAGGGUAUGGCUGUUCGCCAUUUAAAGAGGUACGUGAGCUGGGUUUAAAACGUCGUGAGACAGUUUGGUCCCUAUCUUCCGUGGGCGCUGCAGAUUUGAGGAAGCCUGCUCCUAGUACGAGAGGACCGGAGUGGACACACCUCUGGUGUAUCGGUUGUCACGCCAGUGGCAUUGCCGAGUAGCUAAGUGUGGAAGAGAUAACCGCUGAAAGCAUCUAAGCGGGAAACUCGUUUCAAGAUGAGAUCUGCCGGGGCCUUGAGCCCCCUAAAGAGUCGUUCAAGACCAGGACGUUGAUAGGUCAGGUGUGGAAGCG